rfam:Gossypium raimondii chromosome 13, whole genome shotgun sequence.
AAUCCGUGGUGUGGGCACUUUUGAAUCAAUGUUUUGAAGCAGUCCCACGCCUUAUAGAAAAUUUCCCCUUUCAUAUGAUUAAAGACAACAAUCUCUCUUCUUAGUUG